rnacentral:snRNA from 1 species
AAAUCACUUGAACCCGGAAGGCGGAGGUUGCAGUGAGCUGAGAUCGCACCACUGUACUCCAGGUUGGGCCACAAGA